ACGAACGCUGGCGGCAGGCUUAACACAUGCAAGUCGAGCGGGCCUCUUUCGGGGGGUCAGCGGCGGACGGGUGAGUAUCGCGUGGGAACGUGCCUUCUGCUCUGGGAUAGCUCUGGGAAACCGGGGGUAAUACCGGAUGUGCCCUGAGGGGGAAAGGUUUACUGGCAGGAGAGCGGCCCGCGUCCGAUUAGGUAGUUGGUGGGGUAAAGGCCCACCAAGCCGACGAUCGGUAGCUGGUUUGAGAGGAUGAUCAGCCACACUGGGACUGAGACACGGCCCAGACUCCUACGGGAGGCAGCAGUGGGGAAUCUUAGACAAUGGGGGCAACCCUGAUCUAGCCAUGCCGCGUGGGUGAUGAAGGCCUUCGGGUCGUAAAGCCCUUUCGCCGGGGAAGAUAAUGACGGUACCCGGUAAAGAAGCCCCGGCUAACUCCGU
rnacentral:rRNA from 1 species